rnacentral:lncRNA from 1 species
UCCUCCGAUCUACACAACGGUGUUGAUUUUCCAGCAAUUUAACCGUUUUAAGUCCUUUCAUCGGUAGAUCUGACGCAGAUCUCAUGAAACCUAUACUUCCUCUACGGGUAAAUCUCAUCUCAUGUCACCGUUUGUUUUUUUCCUCGAUUUUGGUUUCUGAUCACGUUUUUUUUUUAAUCUGGUGUUAGAUCUGCCGGUGGGAUCAUCGCGUGAGGGGUGUCUAUGAUGCGAGUCGGUUGCGUUGAAGCGCUUUGAGGUUGAAUCGAAUUCGUUAUGGACGUGAAGCGGUGUUCUUGUGUGGGUUAAGUUAAAAUUAGGAUGUAGAAGAUGUUGAAUUGCAUCUUUUGUCAUCCGACCUUUGCCAUGUCAGGUGCGCUUGCAUGGCAGGUCAAAAACAGAUCCUUAAUAAAAAUAUAUAUUUUGUGGUUGGGAGGGGAGUUCGCACGGGUUAUUUUUUUUUAUCCCGGGUUCUCCUCUCCUUGUGUGCGUGUCUUGCUCUCGGCUUUCACACACUCUAUUUAUUAUUAUGCAUCACAACUCUAACAGAUAGUCAUGAAACACCCGUAAUACCAGAGCUAGCUAUCAACCUGGAGCUGUGUCAAUUUGUUUCUUCAUGCCCCAACAUUCAGGCACUCGCAAGUAUUUUUAAGACAAAUUAGUUUCUCAAAAGUAUAUCGCAAUCACUCUCAUACAAAGUUAUCAGCAUAC